rnacentral:snoRNA from 1 species
GCAAAAAAAAAAAAAAAAAAGAACCGUUCCCCUGGGCCUCUCAUAGUGUCCCAUGCCAAAGCAAGCGUGGCCCUGAACCGUUGCCUGGCCCUUGCCAGGCCACUGAAGUGGGUCGUAUAGUG